AUGCCUCCAUUUUUGUCCUGCAUUUUGUUCAUUAAACUAGGGCCGAUUGAUGGUGCUCAGGACGUGACGGUGGGGCUGGGGCCGAACGGCGAGCUCCGGUACCCGUCGUACCCGCCGGGGAGCGACGUGACCCAGUUCAUCGGCGUGGGCGAGUUCCAGUGCUACGACAAGUACAUGCUGUCGCAGCUGAGGCAGCACGGGGAGGCGCUGGGCAACCCGAUGUGGGGCCUCGCCGGCCCGCACGACGUGCCGCGGUACAACGAGUCGCCGGACUCGAGCGAGUUCUUCCGCGACCACGGCUCGUGCGACAGCCCCUACGGCGACUUCUUCCUCUCCUGGUACGCCGGGAAGCUCGUCAGCACGGCGACCGCGUCCUCGGCAUGGCGAGCCGCGUGUUCGGCAGCAAGCCGGUGGAGCUCUCGGCCAAGGUGCCGUUCAUGCACACGUUCAUCGGCCCGGCAUGGACGUGUGCAUGAACAAGCAGCAGCGGAACACGGGGUCCAGCCCGGACAAGCUGCUGGUGCAGAUCAAGAAGCGUGCCGGCGGCACGGCGCGCGCAUCACCGGCGAGAACGCGUCGCUGGUGAUGACGCACACCAGCAGCUUCCCGCGGAUCAAGAGCAACAUCGUCACCGCGGAGCGGAUGAGGCCGACCUUCUUCACCUAA
rnacentral:rRNA from 1 species